GAUGAACGCUGGCGGCGUGCCUAAUACAUGCAAGUCGAGCGAACGGACGAGGAGCUUGCUUCUCUGAUGUUAGCGGCGGACGGGUGAGUAACACGUGGAUAACCUACCUAUAAGACUGGGAUAACUUCGGGAAACCGGAGCUAAUACCGGAUAAUAUUUUGAACCGCAUGGUUCAAUAGUGAAAGACGGUCUUGCUGUCACUUAUAGAUGGAUCCGCGCUGCAUUAGCUAGUUGGUAAGGUAACGGCUUACCAAGGCAACGAUGCGUAGCCGACCUGAGAGGGUGAUCGGCCACACUGGAACUGAGACACGGUCCAGACUCCUACGGGAGGCAGCAGUAGGGAAUCUUCCGCAAUGGGCGAAAGCCUGACGGAGCAACGCCGCGUGAGUGAUGAAGGUCUUCGGAUCGUAAAACUCUGUUAUUAGGGAAGAACAUAUGUGUAAGUAACUGUGCACAUCUUGACGGUACCUAAUCAGAAAGCCACGGCUAACUACGUG
rnacentral:rRNA from 1 species